UGAUUAAUCAAAGGAUAAAAAGUAGAGCCUGGCGACGCAUGCGCGUUUAUCAUAACUCUCUUACUCUCUCUGUCUCUGCCCCGCCCUCACGAAUGUUAACGCUGUGUGCACCACUUUUUUUUUUUUAACCCCUUUUUAACCCUGAAUGCACAUUGCCAAUACAUACAACCAUAACUUCAAAUGCCGGACAUUUGAGGCAUUUAAGAAACUCCACCAGGACAGCCCCGCAAAGAGGACAUAUCCCGUGAAAAGAGGAGACUCCAGCACCCCCAGCAACGACGAAAGAGACAAGCAGUAGAAAAUGGAUGGAUGGAUCGACAAGUCCCCAAAAUAAAGAAACAAGGCAGCAUUAGAGACUUAGUACAAAGGAAGGUGUGCACACCACAGCAAGCGGCUGCACUGAUACAAAGGAAGGUGUGCACACCACAGCAAGCGACUGCACUGAUUGAUGCUAUCUUGAAUAUGUUGCUAACUGACAUGAGGCGACUAUCAAUGGUGGAGGAUGAAGGUUUUAGACAAAUGAUUCACGUCCUCAACCCUGGUUACACUCUUCCCUCGAGGAACCAUUUUAUCAAACUGAUGGAGAGGAAGUACGAGCGGACAUUCCAUGCAGUGUAGACUGACAUACAGUAAAAGCCACCCAGAGCAAAAUUGCUCUCACUACUGAUGUGUGGACAAGUGUAGCCUACCCUGGCAAUACAUGCCACUACAUUGGAGAGGAAUGGAACAUGAAGUCAAUCUGCCUUACGACCAUGCCACUAGAGGAAAGACAUUCAGCAUCCAACAUUGCAGAAUGUUUGGAAUAGGUAGUAGCCAGGUUUGAAAUUCCCCUAAGCAAAAUUAUGGCUAUUGUGCAGGACAAUGGUGCACUUUAUAUAUAAAAAAAAAAGAAUAAAAAUAAAAAAAACAUUUUUGUAAAACUUGCCUUGUUUUACCUGGCAAGUCGAAAGAACAUGGUGCCAGAACAAUUUCCCUUGUGGAUCAUUAAAGUUUGUCUAAGUCUAAGUAUGCUGUUUUUUAAAUUAAAGUAUUGGAAAGGAUAGAAAUGUAGUUUGUCUCUUGUAUCCGAUUAUUAAUCGAUUAAUCAAAGUAAUAAUCGACAGAUUAAUCGAUUAUUAAAUUAAUCGUUAGUUGCAGCCCUAACACAUAUAC